AUUGAACGCUGGCGGCAGGCUUAACACAUGCAAGUCGAGCGAGCGGCGGACGGGUGAGUAAUGUCUGGGAACCUGCCUGAUGGAGGGGGCUAACUACUGGAAAAGGUAGCUACUACCGCAUACCAUCAGAUGUGCCCUGAGGGGAUUAGCUAGUAGGUGGGGUAAUGGCUCACCUAGGCGACGAUGCCUAGCUGGUCUGAGAGGGUGACCAGCCACACUGGAACUGAGACACGGUCCAGACUCCUACGGGAGGCAGCAGUGGGGAAUAUUGGGCAAUGGGCGCAAGCCUGAUGGAGCCACGCCGCGUGUGUGAAGAAGGCCUUCGGGUUGUAAAGCACUUUCAGUGAGGAGGCGUUACUCGCAGAAGAAGCACCGGCUAACUCCGUGCCAGCAGCCGCGGUAAUAC
rnacentral:rRNA from 1 species